AUUGGAGUUUUAAUAGCAAUAAUUAUUGUUGGUGCAGUUAUAUUCAUUUGUUUGAGGAAAUCAAGAAUGAAAGAAAAAGAGGCAGCAAAUCAGUAUAUGACACCACAGAAACCAGUAGUUUCCUAUAUAGCACCAUCAGAAAUGAGCGAUACAACAGAUUACAAGCGUGAUAACAGAGGAUAUGCAACAAGUUUUUCCACGCAGGCACGUAGUAGGGAUACCAGCCUUAGUUACCUGCCGCCUAUCGCCAAGCACGAUGAUGAUAGUGAUCUUGAAACAGCAAGUAAUAAAGUGUCUUAUAAAUCGGAGCCAUAUUCCAUGAAAAGUGAACCUUAUAAACAGCAAAGCCAAAACUAUAAAUCAAGGAGUUACGCAGAAUCAGUUUCAAGUGUUGAUAGACAAAGUGUGGCAUCAGAUCUGACUUCUGUGUCACGAGAUCAUCGUUCAGGUGACGGUCCACGUGAUCGUCCUCCUCGUGAUCGUUCUCCACAUAAUCAAAAUACUCGUGAUCGGCGUCAAAGAGAUCAAUCUCCACGACAAAGUAAUUCUAGGCCACAUCAUAGACCACGUGUAAAUUCAUCUUCUAGUACGGACUCCAGGGAACAUCGACCAAGACAUGGCCAUUCCAGACAUCACACAAAGAACAAUGCAAAUUCAGUAUCAAGUGUGAAUUCAAGAAAUCAUAGCAAAUCGAUUUCAGAAAGUGUAACUUCUGAUCAAGGCAGCAUCGGCACAACAGUUUAGUGUCAUGAAAAUUUACGCACAUACAUUUAUAUAUAGAUUGUGUAUUGAUAUCAUAUUUCUGUCUACUGGUUACACCAAUUAACUGCCCUUUAAAAUGAUAUUAAAGUACCCUUAAAGUAAAAGAAAGUGCAAAUAUUGACAUUGUCGUGCAUUGACAUUAUCCUGUUGAUUUUCCGACGCUUUAAUCUUGAACAAUAUAUAAAACCGUUCAAAGUGUAAUUGCUGCUUAAAACAUCUAAUUCGGUAUAUAUAUAUAUAUAUAUAUCCGUAUACGGAAUUUUUAUAAUGAAUAUGCAUGUAUGUCAGUCUAUUUGAAGCCAGGAUUAUGUAUGUGCUUCAAUCUUUCACUUCUUUGUUUCUCGGAAUGAACUACUAUUUAAAAUUGUUUCGAGUUAAGGCCCUUUGUUCACAAAUAUUAUAUACCGGUUUGUAUAACAUGUAUGCUUCCAAACUUACAGAAUAUGCAUAUUGUAAAUAUAAAAAUAAGAAGAUUUGCUUGUUGGUUUUCCUCUGGUCCUCAAUAUGCCUGAAAUAUUAACCACUGGACAUUAAGUAAUUAAUCUAUCGAUUGUGUACUCAAUCAAUAAAUUUUCUGUUUUAUAUGUAAUACACUGCUUAAAUACAACUGUUAUGUGAAAAAAGCAUGCCUCAAGCAAGCAGUAUAUCAUGCUACCUAUAUGAAAAUCCCCACUGUAUAUAUUUAAGGAAAUCUGUAUUCACCAGAAGUUUAUUAAUUUCUGUAACCCCAACUUUUCCCAUUUCCAACAUCAGAAAUUUGGUUACUUUUUCACUCUUUUUUUAUCAAAUAAAAAGGGUAAGGUAUUAUGCAGAUAUUCGUCAUCAUGAUUGCAAUUAAAAGUUUUGCAUUUAUUUUCCCCUUGUAUGGUUUAUAUGGGCAUUUUUUGUAUUAGAUCAAAAUUCUAGAGAAAAGGGAAGGGCAGCAAAAAUCAAAUGCAAAUUCAGACUCAAUAUUUAGACUUUUAAUUGUACAUGCUUAUUCAGAAUAGUAAAAUGUUCAAAAUGUCACAUGAAUAUAUGUAAUGCUUAUAAGACGCUAGGUUUAUAUUUUUGUUGUGCUACAUGUAGCUCACAAGGUUGUUCUCCACGGGAAUUCGCUUCACCCCUACCCUAUUCAGAUUCAAACCGACCACUCUUGCUCUUUUAUUUUGUAUGCUUGAGGGGAGUAGCGAACAGCCGUUUUAAAGUAUUCUCUUUUACCCGAUCAGGGAUGGACCACAUGAACUUCUUCAACGGAGUCGACCAAAGCGGUUCAAAAAGGAAAAACAAAUGGUUAUUAUUCAGUUGACGAUAAAAAUCUGCAUGUACAACAUUUAAUCAGUUGUUUUUAUCUGAUACAUACAUUUUAUAUCAAGAAACUCAAAAUGCAGUUAGUUUGGAAGAAAUUUCCAAUUGAUUGAUUGAAUGUUUGCAAUUAAGCCCAAUGUCAAAUAUUGCCUUUGAAUUUGAAUGCCACAAAGUUUUGGAAACCUAUCAGAUAAUAUUCAUCUAGGCCUUUCUGGCCUUUGGAUAGUUGUCACAUUGACACUAAUACCAUACCGUAUUCUUUAUAUUCUUAUUUUUCACAUGCCAGAGUUACCUUUGUUGAUUAGUAUAAAAUUGCUCAUUGUGAUGAAAUAGAUAUUAAUUAUAUAUAUAUAUGUACAAUAUGCUAUAUAUUUUUUAUUGUAACUUUUAUUUUGUAUUUUUAAAGAAACUUAAUUACAAUUUGGAAUAUA